rnacentral:sRNA from 1 species
CUUGGUCAUUUAGAGGAAGUAAAAGUCGUAACAAGGUCUCCGUUGGUGAACCAGCGGAGGGAUCAUUACCGAGUUAUUACUCCAAACCCUUUGUGAACCUUACCAUUUUGUUGCUCGGCGCACCGCGGGCCGCGGCUUCGGCCCGUCCCGCAGCGCGCCAGAGGACCCAACUCUUCAAUUUAUAGCGUACCUUCUGAUUUACAAAACAAACAAGUUAAAACUUUCAACAACGGAUCUCUUGGUUCUGGCAUCGAUGAAGAACGCAGCGAAAUGCGAUAAGUAAUGUGAAUUGCAGAAUUCAGUGAAUCAUCGAAUCUUUGAACGCACAUUGCGCCCGGCAGUAAUCUGCCGGGCAUGCCUGUCCGAGCGUCAUUUCACCCCUCGAGCCGCUUUUAGUGGAUCGGUGUUGGGGCACUACGGUAAAACGUAGGCCCCGAAAUGAAGUGGCGGUCCCGCCGCGGUGCCCCCAUGCGUAGUAACGUUUAGUCUCGCAUCGGGUCCCGGCGGAGGCCUGCCGUCAAGCCUAUUUAUUCUCAGAAUAGUUUGACCUCGGAUCAGGUAGGGUUACCCGCUGAACUUAAGCAUAUCAAUAAGCGGAGGAAAAGAAACCAACAGGGGAUUGCCCUAGUAACGGCGAGUGAAGCGGCAACAGCUCAAAUUUGAAAUCUGGUCCUUCGGGGCCCGAGUUGUAAUUUGCAGAGGAUGCUUUUGGCGCGGUGCCUUCCGAGUGCCCUGGAACGGGACGCCACAGAGGGUGAGAGCCCCGUAUGGUUGGACACCAAGCCUAUGUAAAGCUCCUUCGACGAGUCGAGUUGUUUGGGAAU